GUCUCGGUGGUCUAGUUGGUAAGACACUGCUCUAGUAUAGCAAAGGUCGUGGGUUCGAAUCCAACCCGAGUCC